rnacentral:lncRNA from 1 species
AAUGAGAAUCACUGAAAGGUCAUCCUUAAGUAUUUGAGAAAUACUAAGGAUUGAUGGUUCGGUUAUGAAGAAUCUGAUUUAAAACUUAUAGAGUAUGACUUUAGUUUUUUAGUUGGAUAUAAUAAUAGAAAAAAUAUAUCAAGCAAUUUGCUGAAAAAGUUUCAAGUAAAGCAAUAUAGCCAAAUUCAAAUAGUGAGGCAGAAUGCAUUGCAUCAUUCGAUGCUUGCAAAAAAGCUA